rnacentral:rRNA from 1 species
CUACGGGCGGCACCAGUGGGGAAUAUUGGGCAAUGGGCGCAAGCCUGACCCAGCAACGCCGCGUGUGGGAUGAAGGCUUUCGGGUCGUAAACCACUGUCAGGAGGGAAGAAAUGGGUGAAUCCCAAUACGGGUCACCCUUGACGGUACCUCCAGAGGAAGCACCGGCUAACUCCGUGCCAGCAGCCGCGGUAACACGGAGGGUGCAAGCGUUAUUCGGAAUUACUGGGCGUAAAGCGCGCGUAGGUUGCGUGGUAAGUCAGAUGUGAAAGCCCUCGGCUCAACCGAGGAACCGCAUUUGAAACUGCUAUGCUUGAGUACGACAGAGGGUGGCGGAAUUCCCGGUGUAGGGGUGAAAUCCGUAGAUAUCGGGAGGAACACCAGUGGCGAAGGCGGCCACCUGGGUCGAUACUGACGCUGAGGCGCGAAAGCGUGGGUAGCAAACAGGAUUAGAUACCCUUGUAGUC